CUACGGAGGAUGCAAGCGUUAUCCGGAUUUAUUGGGUUUAAAGGGUGCGUAGGCGGAUGAUUAAGCGUGAGGUGAAAUGCCACUGCUCAACAGUGGAACUGCCUCGCGAACUGGUUGUCUUGAAUGCUCCUGCCGUGGGAGGAAUGUGUGGUGUAGCGGUGAAAUGCAUAGAGGUCACACAGAACACCGAUUGCGAAGGCAUCUCACGAAGGGGUGAUUGACGCUGAGGCACGAAAGCGUGGGGAUCAAACAGGAUUAGAUACCCUGGUAGUCCACGCAGUAAACGAUGAUAACUAACCGCUGGGUCGUAGUGAUUCAGUGGCCAAGCGAAAGCGAUAAGUUAUCCACCUGGGGAGUACGACCGCAAGGUUGAAACUCAAAUGAAUUGACGGGG
rnacentral:rRNA from 1 species